rnacentral:rRNA from 1 species
UGGGGAAUAUUGCACAAUGGGCGCAAGCCUGAUGCAGCAACGCCGCGUGAGGGACGACGGCCUUCGGGUUGUAAACCUCUUUUAGUAGGGAAGAAGCGAAAGUGACGGUACCUGCAGAAAAAGCACCGGCUAACUACGUGCCAGCAGCCGCGGUAAUACGUAGGGUGCGAGCGUUGUCCGGAAUUAUUGGGCGUAAAGAGCUCGUAGGCGGUCUGUCGCGUCUGCUGUGAAAACCCGAGGCUCAACCUCGGGCCUGCAGUGGGUACGGGCAGACUAGAGUGCGGUAGGGGAGAAUGGAAUUCCUGGUGUAGCGGUGGAAUGCGCAGAUAUCAGGAGGAACACCGAUGGCGAAGGCAGUUCUCUGGGCCGUAACUGACGCUGAGGAGCGAAAGCGUGGGGAGCGAACAGGAUUAGAUACCCUGGUAGUCCACGCCGUAAAACGUUGGGCGCUAGAUGUGGGGACCAUUCCACGGUUUCCGUGUCGCAGCUAACGCAUUAAGCGCCCCGCCUGGGGAGUACGGCCGCAAGGCUAAAACUUAAAUGAAUUGACGGGGUCAUAGCUGUUUCCU